rnacentral:rRNA from 1 species
UUGGACCGCAGGUCCGAGUUUGAAAGAUGGCUUCGGCUAUCACUUUUGGAUGGUCCCGCGGCGUAUUAGCUAGAUGGUGGGGUAACGGCUCACCAUGGCAAUGAUACGUAGCCGACCUGAGAGGGUAAUCGGCCACAUUGGGACUGAGACACGGCCCAAACUCCUACGGGAGGCAGCAGUAGGGAAUCUUCCACAAUGGACGAAAGUCUGAUGGAGCAACGCCGCGUGAGUGAAGAAGGGUUUCGGCUCGUAAAACUCUGUUGUUAAAGAAGAACAUAUCUGAGAGUAACUGUUCAGGUAUUGACGGUAUUUAACCAGAAAGCCACGGCUAACUACGUGCCAGCAGCCGCGGUAAUACGUAGGUGGCAAGCGUUGUCCGGAUUUAUUGGGCGUAAAGCGAGCGCAGGCGGUUUUUUAAGUCUGAUGUGAAAGCCUUCGGCUCAACCGAAGAAGUGCAUCGGAAACUGGGAAACUUGAGUGCAGAAGAGGACAGUGGAACUCCAUGUGUAGCGGUGAAAUGCGUAGAUAUAUGGAAGAACACCAGUGGCGAAGGCGGCUGUCUGGUCUGUAACUGACGCUGAGGCUCGAAAGUAUGGGUAGCAAACAGGAUUAGAUACCCUGGUAGUCCAUACCGUAAACGAUGAAUGCUAAGUGUUGGAGGGUUUCCGCCCUUCAGUGCUGCAGCUAACGCAUUAAGCAUUCCGCCUGGGGAGUACGGCCGCAAGGCUGAAACUCAAAGGAAUUGACGGGGGCCCGCACAAGCGGUGGAGCAUGUGGUUUAAUUCGAAGCUACGCGAAGAACCUUACCAGGUCUUGACAUACUAUGCAAAUCUAAGAGAUUAGACGUUCCCUUCGGGGACAUGGAUACAGGUGGUGCAUGGUUGUCGUCAGCUCGUGUC